rnacentral:rRNA from 1 species
GUCAGAGUUUGAUCCUGGCUCAGAAUGAACGCUGGCGGCAUGCCUUACACAUGCAAGUCGAACGGUAACAGGUCUUCGGAUGCUGACGAGUGGCGAACGGGUGAGUAAUACAUCGGAACGUGCCCGAUCGUGGGGAUAACGAAGCGAAAGCUUUGCUAAUACCGCAUAAGAUCUACGGAUGAAAGCAGGGGACCGCAAGGCCUUGCGCGAACGGAGCGGCCGAUGGCAGAUUAGGUAGUUGGUGGGAUAAAAGCUUACCAAGCCGACGAUCUGUAGCUGGUCUGAGAGGAUGAUCAGUCACACUGGAACUGAGACAC